rnacentral:rRNA from 1 species
ACUUUCAACAACGGAUCUCUUGGUUCUGGCAUCGAUGAAGAACGCAGCAAAAUGCGAUAAGUAAUGUGAAUUGCAGAAUUCAGUGAAUCAUCGAAUCUUUGAACGCACAUUGCGCCCGCCAGUAUUCUGGCGGGCAUGCCUGUUCGAGCGUCAUUUCAACCCUCAA